GGAAUUUUCCGCAAUGGGCGCAAGCCUGACGGAGCAACGCCGCGUGAGGGAUGAAGGCCUCUGGGCUGUAAACCUCUUUUAUCAAGGAAGAAGAUCUGACGGUACUUGAUGAAUAAGCCACGGCUAAUUCCGUGCCAGCAGCCGCGGUAAUACGGGAGUGGCAAGCGAUAUCCGGAAUUAUUGGGCGUAAAGCGUCCGCAGGCGGUCUGUCAAGUCUGCUGUUAAAGCGUGGAGCGUAACUCCAUUUCGGCAGUGGAAACUGACAGACUAGAGUGUGGUAGGGGCAGAGGGAAUUCCCGGUGUAGCGGUGAAAUGCGUAGAUAUCGGGAAGAACACCAGUGGCGAAGGCGCUCUGCUGGGCCAUAACUGACGCUCAUGGACGAAAGCCAGGGGAGCGAAAGGGAUUAGAUACCCCUGUAGUC
rnacentral:rRNA from 1 species